rnacentral:tRNA from 2 species
GCGCCCAUGGUGUAGUGGUAACCCAUCUGCUUGCCAUGCAGAAGACGCGAGUUCAAUUCUCGCUGGGCGCUC